UACGGGGGGGCAAGCGUUGUUCGGAAUUACUGGGCGUAAAGGGCUCGUAGGCGGCCAACUAAGUCGGACGUGAAAUCCCCAGGCUCAACCUGGGAACUGCGUCCGAUACUGGAUGGCUUGAAUUCGGGAGAGGGAUGCAGAAUUCCAGGUGUAGCGGUGAAAUGCGUAGAUAUCUGGAGGAAUACCGGUGGCGAAGGCGGCAUCCUGGACCGACAUUGACGCUGAGGAGCGAAAGCUAGGGGAGCAAAGC
rnacentral:rRNA from 1 species